AGUGAACGCUGGCGGUAGGCCUAACACAUGCAAGUCGAACGGCAGCACAGUAAGAGCUUGCUCUUACGGGUGGCGAGUGGCGGACGGGUGAGGAAUACAUCGGAAUCUACUUUUUCGUGGGGGAUAACGGAGGGAAACUUACGCUAAUACCGAAUACGACCUACGGGUGAAAGCAGGGGAUCUUCGGACCUUGCGCGAUUGAAUGAGCUGAUGUCGGAUUAGCUAGUUGGCGGGGUAAAGGCUCACCAAGGCGACGAUCCGUAGCUGGUCUGAGAGGAUGAUCAGCCACACUGGAACUGAGACACGGUCCAGACUCCUACGGGAGGCAGCAGUGGGGAAUCUUGGACAAUGGGCGCAAGCCUGAUCCAGCCAUGCCGCGUGGGUGAAGAAGGUCUUCGGGUUGUAAAGCCCUUUUGUUGGGAAAGAAAAGCAGCAGGUUAAUACCCCGCUGUUCUGACGGUACCCAAAGAAUAAGCACCGGCUAACUUCGUG
rnacentral:rRNA from 1 species